rnacentral:rRNA from 1 species
CCCUAGGGUCGUAAAGCUCUUUCGCCAGGGAUGAUAAUGGCAGUACCUGGUAAAGAAACCCCGGCUAACUCCGUGCCAGCAGCCGCGGUAAUACGGAGGGGGUUAGCGUUGUUCGGAAUUACUGGGCGUAAAGCGCGCGUAGGCGGAUUAGUCAGUCAGAGGUGAAAUCCCAGGGCUCAACCCUGGAACUGCCUUUGAUACUGCUAGUCUUGAGUUCGAGAGAGGUGAGUGGAAUUCCGAGUGUAGAGGUGAAAUUCGUAGAUAUUCGGAGGAACACCAGUGGCGAAGGCGGCUCACUGGCUCGAUACUGACGCUGAGGUGCGAAAGUGUGGGGAGCAAACAGGAUUAGAUACCCUGGUAGUCCACACCGUAAACGAUGAAUGCCGGUCGUCGGGUAGCAUGCUAUUCGGUGACACACCUAACGGAUUAAGC